rnacentral:rRNA from 1 species
UACAGAGGGGGCAAGCGUUGUUCGGAAUUACUGGGCGUAAAGGGCGCGUAGGCGGCCGCCUAAGUCAGACGUGAAAUCCCUCGGCUCAACCGGGGAACUGCGUCUGAUACUGGGUGGCUUGAAUCCGGGAGAGGGAUGCGGAAUUCCAGGUGUAGCGGUGAAAUGCGUAGAUAUCUGGAGGAACACCGGUGGCGAAGGCGGAUCUCUGGGCCAUUACUGACGCUGAGGAGCGAAAGCGUGGGGAGCGAACAGG